rnacentral:rRNA from 1 species
UUCAGAGGUCUCGAGCGUUGUUCGGAUUUACUGGGCGUAAAGGGAGCGUAGGCGGCCGGGUGUGUCGAAUGUGAAAGCCCACAACUCAACUGUGGAAUGGCAUUCGAAACUACCUGGAUAGAGUACUGGAGAGGAGAGCGGAAUUCUUGGUGUAGCGGUGAAAUGCGUAGAUAUCAAGAGGAACACCGGUGGCGAAGGCGGCUCUCUGGACAGAUACUGACGCUGAGGCUCUAAAGUUAGGGGAGCAAACAGGAUUAGAUA